rnacentral:rRNA from 1 species
UACAGAGGUCUCAAGCGUUGUUCGGAUUCAUUGGGCGUAAAGGGUGCGUAGGCGGCGGCGUAAGUCGGGUGUGAAAUCCCAGGGCUCAACCCUGGAACUGCAUUCGAUACUGCGUCGCUUUGAGGACUGGAGAGGAGACUGGAAUUCACGGUGUAGCAGUGAAAUGCGUAGAUAUCGUGAGGAAGGCCAGUGGCGAAGGCGAGUCUCUGGACAGUUCCUGACGCUGAGGCACGAAGGCCAGGGGAGCAAACGGG